GUCGAGCUGCACCCCUGGGGCACCAUUUGUGUAUUUGCAGAUUUCCUUUGUUCAGGGGCCUACAUGCUGUCCUUUGUUACUUCAGGAGUGCUCCCAGGAUGGAUGCCUGACCUUGUCAUUGUGCAAAUGAAAGAACUGCUGCCAAAACAAAAGGCAGAGAGAAUUCCUUCCAGGGUUUGGAGCCCCCCUGGACAGGACCCAUUCUACUGAUCAAGCAAGGCUGAACAGUCCCACAGCCCUAAACACAGCUGCAAAGUGUCCUUGUGCCCAUCACCCUCGAUCCAGCAGGGCUGCAGAGGGAACAAACUCUCACUUUAACUGAAAAGACAAAACCUUGUACAGGGCCUGGCCUGGAAGGCCUGGAUGUGAUGGCCUCUCCCAGGGAGAGAGACCAGAGGCCCUAGGAGGCUGUCAAGAAAGAUGUCUGUGAGUAGUCCACCAAAGGGACUGAACAUUUGCAGCAAGGAAAGCAGAGACCUGGGAGGACCAAAUGCAGACAAGCCUUCUGUGAGGAUGAGCAAGCAGUUCUGAGCAAGGAGCAGGGAAAUAAAGGAAAGAGGGACUCUAAGUUGUUGAACUUGGCUGCAGCACUGCAGGAUGCAGAUAUUUCUUUUGUCUGUGAUAAAUAUCAGUCCAUUUAGCAGCUUCUGAAUUCCUAGGCUAAAAUGCUGCUUCCACAGGAACUUCUACAGAUGAUUUUGGGUUAGACUGUCAAAUUAAGGACUCAUUCAGAGGUCCUGUCUAAGAAGACCAACAUAUUUUAUAAACAAUAUUCACUUUCCAUAAACAAUUGCUGCAUGCUUUUAUUUCCUUUUGGUUCAGGAAAAAUAAAAAAGCUGACAUACCCUUUCUGAGCCUUACUUUGCUAUGUCUUGUUUAUUUCUGCCCUGAAUACACCUGAGGAAUUUAGACAAGAAACCAAACAUGCUAUUGGUAGCUUCAGCACAAAUUUUUAAGAAAGGGAUCUCAAUUGCAACCUUCUGUCAUAGGCCAUAACAGUAACCAUUCCCAUCAACCCCAAAUUUAACUGUUUGUGGCACUUGUUAAAUAGGUGACUAAGUGAU